UACGGAGGGUGCAAGCGUUAUCCGGAUUCACUGGGUUUAAAGGGUGCGUAGGUGGGCAAGUAAGUCAGUGGUGAAAUCUCCGGGCUUAACCCGGAAACUGCCAUUGAUACUAUUUGUCUUGAAUACUGUGGAGGUCAGCGGAAUAUGUCAUGUAGCGGUGAAAUGCAUAGAUAUGACAUAGAACACCAAUUGCGAAGGCAGCUGGCUACACAAAUAUUGACGCUGAUGCACGAAAGCGUGGGGAUCAAACAGG
rnacentral:rRNA from 1 species